rnacentral:rRNA from 1 species
ACGGGAGGCAGCAGUGGGGAAUAUUGGGCAAUGGGGGAAACCCUGAUCCAGCGACGCCGCGUGAGUGAAGAAGUAUUUCGGUAUGUAAAGCUCUAUCAGCAAGGAAGAAAAUGACGGUACUUGACUAAGAAGCUCCGGCUAAAUACGUGCCAGCAGCCGCGGUAAUACGUAUGGAGCAAGCGUUAUCCGGAUUUACUGGGUGUAAAGGGAGCGUAGACGGCAAAGCAAGUCUGAAGUGAAAUGCCGGGGCUUAACCCCGGAACUGCUUUGGAAACUGUUUAGCUAGAGUGCAGGAGAGGUAAGCGGAAUUCCUAGUGUAGCGGUGAAAUGCGUAGAUAUUAGGAGGAACACCAGUGGCGAAGGCGGCUUUCUGGACUGUAACUGACACUGAGGCUCGAAAGCGUGGGGCGCAAACAGGAUUAGAUACCCUGGUA